rnacentral:rRNA from 1 species
AUUGAACGCUGGCGGCAUGCCUUACACAUGCAAGUCGAACGGCAGCACGGGAGCAAUCCUGGUGACGAGUGGCGAACGGGUGAGUAAUAUAUCGGAACGUGCCCAGUCGUGGGGAUAACGUAGCGAAAGCUACGCUAAUACCGCAUACGAUCUAUGGAUGAAAGCGGGGGAUCGCAAGACCUCGCGCGAUUGGAGCGGCCGAUAUCAGAUUAGGUAGUUGGUGAGGUAAAGGCUCACCAAGCCGACGAUCUGUAGCUGGUCUGAGAGGACGACCAGCCACACUGGGACUGAGACACGGCCCAGACUCCUACGGGAGGCAGCAGUGGGGAAUUUUGGACAAUGGGCGCAAGCCUGAUCCAGCAAUGCCGCGUGCAGGAUGAAGGCC